GACCUUUCUCUUUGUCUCUCUCUCUCACUGUCUAACUCUGCCUGUCAAAAACAAACAAACAAACAAACAAACAAAAAACCCAAAAAACAAAAAACUGUGGUUCCCUACAAAUGGAAAUAAUAAAAUACUUGCUGGAUCAGUUUGAUUUUCUCGUCUGGGACAGGAAAAUCGCUAGGCUUGGAUGGCAGCAGAGGGCUGGGAAACCAGGGAGGAAGGGGCAAUGGCGAAUUGGGGCCGCUUCCUGCCUCUCUAGGUAUUGUCCGAGACCAGGUGUAGAUGGGAGGCAAUAAGCCAAGGGCCAGCAGCCACAAGGCCACGCCCCCUCAUCAGCCUCGCCCACUCCCCAUCCUGCCCUGGUCCAGAGUGCUGUGCGCCACCGGAUGUUCCCAGAGUCCUCUUAGCCCCUCAGGUGGGCAGGCCGGAAGGAGAUGCUAACUGUCCUUGAAGGGCUGUCUGGGGAGCGCUGGGGCCAACUCCACCUCCACUGCCGCCGAGGUCAGAGGUCAAAAGGGCGGCUCAGCUGAGAAGCGGCAGCAGGACUCAGGGGAGGGGGCGCCAGGCGCUCGGGAGCCUCCCCGCAGAGUGCCGGCUGAGCUCGUCCUGGCUGGCCGGGCCAGGCCUGCGGAAAGGGGAGAAACAGCCUGAUCUCGGCAAUUGACGGGGAACGCCUGAAGCUGACCAGCGCGGGCUGACAAGGGGAGCUCGCACGGGAAACGGCAGAGUGGACAGUGAGAGAGACAGAGAGAAAGGUCUUCCUUUUGCUGUUGGUUCACCCUCCAAUGGCUGCCGCAGCUGGCGCACCGCGCUGAUCCGAAGCCAAGAGCCAGGUUGGCUCCUGCCAGGCAACCUAUGAACUAGAUGGCAGUCUUUGCUCCACUGGAAAGAUGAGGAAGCAGAGGUAUAGGACCCUGAACACAUCAGCACCAGCGCUCACGAGUUAGAGAAAAUGUUGUGCUCACAUACAUGAGGCAUUUCAUGACUCCAGCUAUAAGCCUCAAUCUUCUGAACGAGACACUAUUAUGUUUUGAGGGUUAUUCAAGCUAAUUCAGACAAGGUCAUGGUCAAAAAGAAAAGACACGAAAUACCACUUACCAGCCAUUUGCUGAAUGCCACUGAACGCACCCAGGUUGCUGGAGGAGGUGGCCUGCUGCAGGAGCUGGGAAGGAAAUGCAGAAGUGGAAAAUCAGAGUGUGGACCCGAGAACAAAUGAAGGCUCAUACAACAGGCUUGAGAGGUUAAGCUGCCACUGUAGAACCAUCUGGGUAAACUGAAGUUGCUUCAAAGCAUCUCCAAACUACAUUUUCCAAGCGGUAAAAAUUAUCAGAAGGGGACGCUGUCCCCACAGGGAGAAGUGCACACUUGCAGAUGGGCAUCUUGCUUCCAGUGAAGAAGAGUCCCCAUGUUUGUUGAGAAGCUUCAUGUGCUUGGCGGGUUCUAGGUGCUUUCCAUGUAGAUUCACGACAGUUUCCCCAGAGUGGCUGUUCUGGAACAGUGGCUGGUGCUGAGUAAGUGAUCACCUGUGAAGCAGUGAAGACCUGGUAGUGCUGGCCCAGCAUCUGAACUGUAGAAGCACCAGACGCCCUGGCAAGGCCAACCCCCUGUGCUGAAACGUGAUAGUCCUCCAACAUUAGGAUCCCUGCAGGCUCCCUGGGAGGCCUGGACUCCUUCACACAUGAGGAUCUGGGUCUGGCAGGCCCUGUGGGACUGCAGCAUUCCCGUGAACAGCAAAAGGGAAAGGGGCAGAAGUGACUGGAAUGGCACAGGGUAGGGAGGAGGAAACUUCUAGUUGCAUUUCUUCCUCGUUCCCUCCCAUCUCUGGGAUGCCUAUCUCAGGAACUUUGGCUGUCACAUCUUUGAGAGUAAAAAUUUUCCUGUUGUUUAGAAUUUGAUUCUAGUUCUUUUAAACAAAAACAAAUUAAAAGAUCCCCACGUGGUCCUCGGUUUCCCUGGUAAACCUGUAAUCAGGGUGGUUAGCUAAAAUAAUUGGCAGGCUUUGAGCUCCAGCCUGAUGCAGCAGUAAAUUAAACAUGCAGCUUUUGAAUAAAGCUAAAAAUUUUUUCUGAGAUGAAUAUCAAGUGCAUGGAAACCGCUUACGAAGAGAUCCUGACUGCUUACCCGUCACUUAAGGUCAAUUUGGCCAGGCAGAAGGAAGGAAUAGAACUUUCUCUUUUAAAAAUAACAAGUAUUAACUAAGAAAAAAAUGGAAACCCACAUCAUCCAUAUGCUAUUCAAAAUGUUGAUUUACUUCCCUGUGUGUGUGGGCUUGCAUGUACUCACAUGCAUAAAGCAAGCUGGACAGUAGCAAUCUUCUGUGGUUCUAACAGUUGGACCAUACUUCCUUUAAUGACAAAAUGAAGAUGAUAGCCACCUUUCUCUCCCUUGAGUCUGCCAGUGAAAACUUUAAAUUCACAAGAUUAUUCCCAGGAUUCCCAUUUUAUGAAUCCCUACAGCUUUGUAAACAUUUUAAGUAACAUAAUUACCUUGAAUUUCUUUUCCCCCAAAACUGAAGAAUUUUUCCCCCAAAUAUUCAAAGGCUGUAUAUCACUUCUUCUCUCA